CUCGAAUUUAAAAGAGUUAAUUAAUUAUAAAAGUUAAUGUAGUAUAAUUAUUUUUAAUAAUUAAUUGGAAAUGAAAUGUUAAUCGUUUUUAAAAAUAUCUAGUUUUUUUAGAAAAAAAUUUAAUUUUAAAUAUUAUAUUUAAAAUUUUUAUUUGUGAAAAUUUUAUUAAUUAAUAUUAAAUAUUUUAAGGGAUAAGCUUUAAAAUAAAUUUUUAUAAUAAAUUAUUUAAUUAAAUUAAAAUUAUAAAAUUUAAAUUGUUAUAUAAAUUAUAAUUUUUUAUAAAUAAUUUAAUUUAAAUUAAAAUUUAAGUGAGAAAAAUUUAAAUUUUUAUAAAAAAAUAUAUUUUAAUAAAAUAAAAUUAGAUAUAAUGAUAAAAUUAGUAUAUAAUUUUUUUUUAGGAAAAUAAUUAUAAAAAGUUAAUUAAAGGAAUUCGGCAAAUUUUAUAUUCACUUGUUUAUCAAAAACAUGUCUUUUUGAAGAUAAUUUAAAGUCUAAUCUGCCCACUGAUAAAAUUAUUAAAGGGCUGCAGUAUUUUGACUGUACAAAGGUAGCAUAAUCAAUAGUCUCUUAAUUGGUGACUUGUAUGAAAGAUUGGAUGAAAUAUAUACUGUCUCUAAUUAAUUUAUAGAAAUUAAUUUUUUAGUAAAAAAGCUAAAAUAAUUUUAAAAGACGAGAAGACCCUAUAGAGUUUAAUAAUUUAUUUAAUUAUAUUUAUUAUAUAAUUUUUAAAAUUAAAAUUAAAUGAAUUAUUUUGUUGGGGUGAUAGAAAAAUUAAAUUAACUUUUUUUAAUUGUUAACAUUAAUUUAUGAUUAAAUGAUCCAUUAAUAAUGAUUAAAAGAAAAAAUUACCUUAGGGAUAACAGCGUAAUUUUUUUUUUUAGUUCAAAUAGGAAAAAAAGUUUGCGACCUCGAUGUUGGAUUAAGAUAAAAUUUAAAUGCAAAAGUUUAAAAUUUUGAUCUGUUCGAUCAUUAAAAUCUUACAUGAUCUG
rnacentral:rRNA from 1 species